UAUAGUAUUCACUACAAGAUCCACGCGCUAUGAAAUAUGAAUGCGUUGUUAGAAUGUGGUGUUAGCUUACAAGCGUUGGUUCGGCAUUCGGAAAAUAACUAUAUAAAAAGCAAGAGGCAUUCACGCUUUUUAAAACCACAUUUCGGUCCUCUUUUGUUUUUUAACGUGCUCUGAAAAUGACUUCUGAAGUUGAGGAAGAUGAGACAAACGAACUUGUCAAUGUAAAAUCGCAACAAUCAGCUGAGGAAAAAUGGAGUGCCAUAUUUAGACGAAAACGACCAUCACGAUCUCUGAAUGCCAAUGCUCCACCGGAGAAGAAGGUGUAAAAGGAUCAUUGUGAUCCACACAUAUGUUUGCUUUGUUCACAAGAGUUGACAAGAGGAUCCAAGUCGUACAAACAAAGGCAUUGGGCAAGAAAACAUAGUG